rnacentral:lncRNA from 1 species
UUGACUUUGGUCUAGGUUUAAUUUUUUUUUAAAAGAGCAUCUUACUCGUUAUUCAUUUUACAAUGAAUUGCAAUCUGAGUGAAAGGUUGUGUGAGGGAAAAUCGGAUUAUUCUUACGCGGCAUGCAUCUAAUAUUGGUAAAAUAAAUCUGCUUUGCAUAUAGAUGAGAUGCUGAAUUGUACAUUCUAGACACGAAGAUAACUUGAAGUGAUUUUUUUGUAUUUUUUCCAGUGAACUAAGAACUUACUAAAACAUCAGUCAUGUACUACAGAAAUUAGAAAAUUAUAUUUGUCAUGUUUGGUUCUUUUCUGAACAGGACUAAUAGGCAACAGACUCCA